rnacentral:tRNA from 1 species
GUUCUUGUAGUUAAAUGAUAACGGCGGUUUUUCAAGCCGCUGUUCUUGGUUAAAAUCCUGGCAAGAAUU